rnacentral:tRNA from 1 species
GUUCAAUUAGUUUAAUAUUAUUAAAAUAUGACUUUGAAGAUGUUAUGACGGAUUUUUCCAUUGAACU